AACGAACGCUGGCGGCAUGCCUAACACAUGCAAGUCGAACGAACCCUUCGGGUCUAGUGGCGCACGGCUGCGUAACGCGUGGGAACCUGCCCUUAGGUUCGGAAUAACUCUCCGAAAGGGGUGCUAAUACCGGAUAAUGUCUUCGGACCAAAGAUUUAUCGCAUUUGGAUGGGCCCGCGUUGGAUUAGCUAGUUGGUAGGGUAAAAGCCUACCAAGGCGACGAUCCAUAGCUGGUCUGAGAGGAUGAUCAGCCACACUGGGACUGGGACACGGCCCAGACUCCUACGGGAGGCAGCAGUGGGGAAUAUUGGACAAUGGGCGAAAGCCUGAUCCAGCAAUGCCGCGUGAAUGAUGAAGGCCUUAGGGUUGUAAAGCUCUUUUACCCGGGAUGAUAAUGACGGUACCGAGAGAGUAAGCUCCGGCUAACUCCGUG
rnacentral:rRNA from 1 species